UAUUCUUGGUGUAAAGGAAAUAUCUUGGA
rnacentral:piRNA from 1 species